rnacentral:rRNA from 1 species
UACGUAGGGUGCGAGCGUUAAUCGGAAUUACUGGGCGUAAAGCGUGCGCAGGCGGUUUUGUAAGCCAGAUGUGAAAGCCCCGGGCUCAACCUGGGAAUGGCCGUGGAAACUGGCGAGCUGGAGUGUGGCAGAGGGGGGUGGAAUUCCACGUGUAGCAGUGAAAUGCGUAGAGAUGUGGAGGAACACCGAUGGCGAAGGCAGCCCCCUGGGCUGACACUGACGCUCAGGCACGAAAGCGUGGGGAGCAAACAGG